CGGCCCCAGACCUCCGCCAGCACCGCCGGCCUCCCCUGCCCCAAGUUCACCUCCGGCAGCACACUUCGGUCCCAACAGUCGCGGUUCGAGCUCUCUACCUACGUACUUACUACCCCAGACGGCUGGAGGAAAGGCGCCGUAUCCAUCUUGCUCUUUCCUUUCGCGAGUCUCCACUGCCCCGCCGCAGCCGGGAUUCGGGAUCGGCCGAGCGGAUUUCCUUCCGUUUCCACGGCACCAGGAUCCCAUCCUUUUCUUUCUUUCCAAAAAUCCCAUCCUUCCUGCCUCUUUUCUCCCCACAGCCUGGGCGCCUCCUUUUUUGCGAGUGAGCGGGCUGACCAUGGAGUGGGACAAGGCCUCCGCCGCCGCGGCGGCCGGCGAGCCGGCGGAGGAGAGGGGCGAGGCGCUGGGGUACGUCAAGGUGAUGACGGACGAGCAGAUGGAGGUGCUCCGGAAGCAGAUCUCCAUCUACGCCACCAUCUGCGAGCAGCUCGUCGAGAUGCACCGCGCCCUCACCGCGCACCAGGACUCCAUUGCAGGUAUGAGGCUUGGUAAUCUGUACUGUGAUCCUCUAAUGGUCCACGGCGGGCACAAGAUCACAGCGAGGCAGCGGUGGACACCGACCCAGAUGCAGCUGCAGAUCCUCGAGAGCAUUUUCGACCAAGGAAAUGGAACACCAAGCAAGCAAAAGAUAAAGGAUAUCACUGCGGAGCUCUCGCAGCACGGCCAGAUUUCAGAGACCAAUGUCUACAACUGGUUCCAGAACAGACGUGCACGCUCGAAGCGGAAGCAGGCAGCCUCUUCUCUACCAAGUAACACCGAAUCGGAGGCCGAGGGAGAUGAGGAUUCCCCGACCGACAAGAAGCCUAGAUCAGACGGGUCACAGCAGCAGAGCAUGGCUGCGAGGGCUCACAACCCCGAGAGGAUCUCGGAGAUGCACCGUCACUUCGACGCAGCAGAGCGUGAGCAGGUUCGCGGUCCGAUGUAUGGGUCCGGCAACGACAGUGGGGCGAGACCGUCGGGCGGUCUGGGCCAGAUGUCCUUCUACGAGAACGUCAUGUCGAAUCCAAGAAUUGACCAGUUCUUCCAGUACCGGACGGGCGAAAGCUUCGACAUGUCUGGGUGACACGAGACGUUGUUUAGCCGGCAGGAGUUGGGGUCUGAGAAGUUUGCCUUAGUGUAAAAAGCAGCAAUGCGUUGGUUAUCGCGGUCUUGUCGACCUCCUUCUGAGAGUAGUUUAGCUCGAGUGGAAUUGGUUUGUUUUUCUCGUGGGAAUAGUUUGAGAAGCUGAUAUAUAUACAGUAUUUGCCCUUAGCCUAUAUAUUAACUUCAAGUGUUGGUACGCAGACCCAGGGUUUGCAGUUUUACAAGGUAAGCUGUUUUGGGUGUUCAUUUCUGUGAGACUCAGUGUUUUACAGUGUAAAUGUAACUAUCAGAACCACCGAUUAUGUCGCUCACAAACUCUCCUUGGAGAAAUAUGGUUAGCCAGGCCUCUGAAAAAUCAACAAAGUUUCCAG
rnacentral:rRNA from 1 species